rfam:Picea glauca, whole genome shotgun sequence.
ACAACGGUGUUUUUCAACACCACCCCAAAUAUUUUCAUAAAUAUGG